rnacentral:rRNA from 1 species
AUUGAACGCUGGCGGCAUGCCUUACACAUGCAAGUCGAACGGUAACAGGUCUUCGGAUGCUGACGAGUGGCGAACGGGUGAGUAAUACAUCGGAACGUGCCUAGUAGUGGGGGAUAACUACUCGAAAGAGUGGCUAAUACCGCAUGAGAUCUACGGAUGAAAGCAGGGGAUCGCAAGACCUUGUGCUACUAGAGCGGCCGAUGGCGGAUUAGGUAGUUGGUGGGAUAAAAGCUUACCAAGCCGACGAUCCGUAGCUGGUCUGAGAGGACGCUCAGCCACACUGGGACUGAGACACGGCCCAGACUCCUACGGGAGGCAGCAGUGGGGAAUUUUGGACAAUGGGCGCAAGCCUGAUCCAGCAAUGCCGCGUGCAGGAUGAAGGCCUUCGGGUUGUAAACUGCUUUUGUACGGAACGAAAAGCCCUGGAUUAAUACCCUGGGGUCAUGACGGUACCGUAAGAAUAAGCACCGGCUAACUACGUGCCAGCCGCCGCGGUAAAAC